rnacentral:tRNA from 1 species
AUUUAUAUAAUAUAUUUAGUAUAUUUGAUUUCCAAUCAAAAUGUUUAAAAAUA